ensembl:lncRNA
CCUCGAUGGGCUAGGGGCGGGGAGGGCGCUCGGGGCACAGAUGGGGCGGAGAGAAGGGGCCAAACUCCAGACUGAAGUCAGGCCCGUGCAGCCCCGGGUGGGGGAUGACCGCAGGGAACAGAAUUCCUGAAGGAGGGAACAGCGCAGGCCAAGACCUGGAGGCAAAUGGGACAUCCACAUUCCGUGAGAGGCCAGCCUGGUGGACGCAGGUAUGAGGGGCUUCCCUGGUGGCUCAGUAGUAAAGAACCCACCUGACAAUGCAGGAGACGCAGGUUCCUGCAUCCUGCCUGGGCAAUCUCAUGGACAGAGGAGCCUGGUGAGCUAAGCCAAUGGAAUCACAAAUAGUCCUACAGUACUUGGUGACUAAACAACAACAUCAAGAGUCAAGAGAGAUAUUUCUGAAGUUUCUUCACCACUCCACCUGUAAUUUUAAUGAGACUCCGAUGACGUAGGUAGGUUAUGCAAGUGGGGAAACUGAGGCCCGGAAAGAAACCCGGGGUCAUACAUGGGUCAAGCUGGGAUUUGGGGUCCAGUUGUUUGGCUCCGGAACAGCGGGCGAAACUGAGCAGGAGACUACAGCUCCCGG